rnacentral:snoRNA from 1 species
AUGGAAUUGAUGAAUAUUUCCCCAAAUGAUCGAAGCUGAGCAAACUGAGCGAUCUUUCUCUAUUGAGAACCAAGCCAGAAUUCUGAUCCAU